rnacentral:lncRNA from 1 species
CUGCUGAGCCUUGAAAUGGCCAGCACUUUAUCCUGAUCGCCUUAGAUAUUGUUUCGAGUCAAUCAUCUGUCAUGGAUUUCUGCCAUCUGCCAAGUCCCCAGACUGAUUCCACCUCCUCCAGAAAGGCUUCCCUGACUACCUGGAUCCACAGACCAGACGCACAGUAGGGAGCUGUGCCAUCGCCUCCAGAAGUCACAGGUUCACUGGGGCCUCUGCCUCCUGCUUCCAACACUGAUGAUCAAGCGUCGCCAUGAGCCUCCUGGAUGGUCACUACCUUCUGGAGCUUGUCCAUGACUACUAGUGGGAGUGCCUUAUGGACCACUCCAGGGGCAGUGUGGCCAGACUCCCCUAUGGAGAGAUGCAGACUCAGAAGGUCCCCAGAAUACCCUUCUUAAUCUGCUCACUUCCCCAUUCUCAUCUGGACCCAAGUUAGAAUGCAA